UACGUAGGGUGCAGGCGUUUAAUCGGAAUUACUGGGCGUAAAGCGUGCGCAGGCGGUUUGCUAAGACAGGUGUGAAAUCCCCGGGCUUAACCUGGGAACUGCGCUUGUUACUGGCAGGCUUGAGUGUGGCAGGAGGGGGGUGGAAUUCCGACGUGUAGCAGUGAAAUGCGUAGAUAUCUGGAGGAACACCGGUGGCGAAGGCGGCAUCCUGGACCGGUAUUGACGCUGACUGCGCGAAAGCCGGGGAGACA
rnacentral:rRNA from 1 species